AUACACAUAGAAGAUAUUAAAUAUGUCUGAAACAUGUGAAAGCAUGCAUAUUUUUACUGGGCUCGAAACAUAUCGGACCUCUGCUGCUCACAAUAUCUAGGAGGAAUUCUAAAUGCCCAAUUUGAUCAAUUUUUUAGUUUAAUAAAGGUUGUCCCUGAUUCUCAGUCUCUUAGGUACAGUAUGUUAGUUCAAUAAAGGCCAUUCCUGUCCUUAGUUUAAUAGGUACAAUGAGCUUUUCAAUUUGUCGUUCUCAUCUUCCUUAGAGUGAUUUUAUUUUCGUCUUUAUGCACACAACUUUUAUGAUUUCAGUCUCCAGAUGAAGCUUUUGUGGCCAGCAAUGAAAACUGCUUAAAGAUGAGCCUGCCCAGCCACCUGUCAUCCACGACCCUACUCCUCAAGCCAUUCUUGUCUCUACUGGUAGGUGAGCUCUUUCCUCCUCCCCCCUCUCACUUUUGAAUUUAUGCUGGUAGAUGUGUUUGCUGUGGGUUCUGCUGCUGCUUGGCCUAACUCUACUUGUGCUGCUGCUAUGUGCUACUAUAUGUUGUUGGUCGCCUCCUUGGUUAUUUGUGAAUCUGAAAACACUUUGUGAGAAGCACGGAUUGAAGAGAAGGCUAUGAGCCAAUGAGAAGAGCUUCAUUUUCAGUUUUUGUUAAGAAUUGAUGAAGGACGUGUCAUAUGUUCAGUUGCUAACGUUCUCUCUAUGAUGUAUGCACUUGUUGUUCAUUGCAUUGGAGGGAGAGGAAAACUCUUUGUGAGAAGCAAGGAUUGAAGAGACGGCUAUGGGCCAGCGAGAAAACCUGAACUUUAGUUUUUUAUUUAAGAAUUGAUGACGGAUAUGUCAUAUGUUCAGUUACUUACAUAUUCUCUAUGGUGUAUGUACCUGUUGUUCAUUGCAUUCGAGGGAGAGGACAACAAGAGUAAGAAAGUCUUGCGACAUGAAGGCAGUAGCACGCAGCGCCAAGUCAAGCGCAUUGGCCUCGAUGGCAAGAGACCAGUACCAUCAGGUUCACUUGACUGCUUGCUAGCCCGGCAUUGAACAAUACCCUUAAUAAAGCUACAUGGUGUACGCUAAUUGUCAUAUUUUGACCGACAAAUCUGUUUGAAUAGAUUAUACAAGAUUGAUGUGAUUAUCAGAUGAUUGCAGUCUACCCCAGGAGUACACGAUAAAGAAGUGCUACUGCUACAUUACUGCUGCUUGCCAAGGGAAAAGAGAGUUCCAUUGUAAAAUGAGAUGCCAGGGAGGGGACUGGUGAUAGGAAACAUGGGUCCAAGAAGAAGUCAAAGAGCAUGGUAUUGUUCAAUCCAUCAGUAGCCAGCGGAUGUCGUGCUGUGAUUAAGGUGGAGUCGCCGAUAAGACCGUGAGAUCGCCGGCAAGGAGACCCACCUCUGCCCAAAGACACCGGCUCCCACGCACUACUGGGAUGUGGGCAACCACGAGCAUGCUCGUCGGGAGGCAUCCUCAAUCGCUGGCGAUGGCUGCCUUCCCUGAAAAUGAGGGCUCUGCUGGUGAGGUCCGAGAUCCCGAUUGGAGAGGAGAGGAGGUGGCGGCCACUCAAGCCGACGCUGGCAACAGGCGGUCGGCUCAAGUGUCUGGGCCUGCCGUUGGGCAGCGCCACAGCACAGGAGGCGGGGCCCCUCUUGCUCCCGAACAACGGUGCGCAUCAGCGGAGGCUGGAAAACUUGGGGCGGGGAAGAGAAAGAGGGGAGAGGUGCCAGCCACCAUGCGCUGGGAUUUCAAGAUCGGAGGAGGAGAGAAGCGAGGGGAAGAAGCAGCGAAGAGACGACAGUGCAGAGGAGCGACACGUGCUGCGCGCCGUCCUCCUAUCCCCACGCCACUUUGCACUACACCGCUUAAAGAAACGGCCAACAAGACCGGAAACUCCGAAGAGUACCCGAGCUCGCUUGCUCUCACUCAAAAGUGUCCAUCCCACGUCAGCCUCUCCAAUGCAUCCCAUAUUUGAUUUUUGUAUUAGGUCUAAUUAAUCCCAACCCACUAGAAAACUUACGAUGUGCUAGGGCAUUUUUUGCAUGGCCAACAUGAACAAAUCCCAAUUUUCAAAUUGUAAAUGUAGUCGUAUUUUUUGCAUGGUGAACAUGAACAAAUCCUAAUUUGCAAAUAUUUAAAUGUAA